ensembl:lncRNA
GUUCCCGUAGUCGGCUACCUAUUCGAGUGGCCAUGGACACGAGACCAUCCAAACACGUGGGCACAUCUCGGGCAGCAAGCUCGUCCUUGAUGGGGUCACACAAACCGUUGUAGAACGUGUCGAGUAGCGCCUCAGAACCCCACGAACACUCCGCUGCCAGGGUACGGAAUUUGAUGGCGUAAUCCGGAACGCUACUGUUGCCCUGCCUGAGUCGUAGGAGCUGGCGUGCCGCUUCCCUGCCGGACAGAGGGGCAUCGAAAACCUUCUUUACCUCCGCCGUGAAAGCCGCUAGGCUGUAACAGAUGGGCAAUCGUUGGUCCCAGAUCGGCGUGGCCCAGGCCAAGGCCCGCCCGGACAUCAUGGUAAUGAUGUAAGCAACCCGUGACUUCUCCGUAGGGAACGAGGACGGCUGGAGCUCGAAGAUGCGCGAGCACUGGGACAAAAAGGGAACACAAUAACUGGAGUCACCAGAGAACCGUUCGGGGGCAGAACACCUCACCCAAUAAAACAACUACAGAUGGAUCCGGGGGAGCUACAUGCAUGACUGACGCAGCAGGAGGAGCUACAUGCACGACUGAUGCAGCAGGAGGAGCUACAUGAACGACUGACACAGCAGGAGGAGCUACAAGCACAACCGUCGCAGCAGGAGAAGUAUAUUGACGAGCUCCACCCCUGCAGGGGGUCAAAAAGACAAUAGGAUCUACCUGUCCUUCUCACUGUUAAUGGGGUGACUCUGUCCGUUAAGGGAUUAGUGGUUUCGGGAGCAGCUGGUCAUUUUAUUGAUUAUCAACAAGUCCAUGACCUGGGCAGUAAAACGAACCCCUCUUGACCCUCCUUUAAGGAUGAGCUCCCUGGAUGGGGAACACCUUGGCACCACCAGGUGAGCCACUGGUUCUUGGACACCCCUGGCUUAGCCUCCAUGACCCUGUCAUCUCUUGGAGAAGAGGAGAACUGUGCUCGUGGAGAACUUUCUGUUUUUCCCAUUGCCUUAAUCUUCUACUUCCAUUCCUCCUCAGUAUGUCCAAGGAAAAGACCUCUAUUCUGCUGCCUCAUUGCGCUUGGCACUGUGCUGCUGAUGUACUCCCUGACUCCACUCCACCUAAAGGAAGGAUCUAUCCUGUGUCUCUUCCAGAAAAGGAGACCAUAAAUACCUACAUUGAUGAUGCCUUCCAACAAGGAUCAAUACACCCAUCCACAUUACCCACGGCCUCCAGGUGUCUGAAUGAAAUUACAAUCAAACAUCGAUACUUUCUUCCUCUGAUUCAGGCCUCUCUGGAGCAGGUGGGCAGGCCUCCAUCUAUCCAAGUGGGAUUUACGCAACACAUAUAACCUGAUCCAUAUUGGAAAGGGAGACUGUUAUGGUAAUUUUGAACUAAGGUACAU